GCAGAGUACAUGGGGUCAUGACUCAGGAAAAAGGACAAAAUCACCAACAUCUUCAAUGGGAGAAAAUCCUUUAUCGGCUGAUUCAUUUCCAUGUUUUGUUUCUGCAGGAGACGGGAUAUCCUAUUCAAGAAGCUUUAGAGUGGGCUCACACAGAAAAGAAUUUUCUCUUCCACUCCUCCUUCUCUUCGUCUCCCUUCCUUUCCAACGUAUAGAGAGGAUUUCAGAAUCUCAACAGAAAUGUCAGCAGCAUCAGCAACAGAGUAAAGGUGCUUGAUAGCAAGACAGCAAAAGAAAUCGUGGAUGUCGGUUCAGCACCGUGAUGCUCGUACCGUCCACUGGAGCAGUUUGAAGAAAGACUUUCAUUAACAUACUUACACAGCAGUUGGCAUGCUUCCGGUGGCACAAUCAGGAUUCAAGGCAGAGCGCUUAAUGCCAAAGGGUAUUUCAUUGACACUCUCAGCACCAGAAUCUUCAAGGACUUCACCCCAGGCACAACGAUACUGAAGCAAAUGAACGUUUAGAGUGUUCUGAUAAAGAACGAUGGGUUUUUGUUGUUGUUGUUGUUUUGUUUUGUGUUUUUGUUUUGUUUUGUUUUUCCUUUUAAAUUAAACUCUCCAACUCAACUGCCUUUCUUCAGUAAC
rnacentral:lncRNA from 1 species